CAAUAGCGUAUAUUAAAGUUGUUGCGGUUAAAAAGCUCGUAGUUGGAUUUCUGCUGAGAACGACCGGUCCGCCCUUUGGGUGUGUAUCUGGCUCUUUCUUGGCAUCUUCUUGGUGAACGUUGCUGCACUUGACUGUGUGGAGCGCUACCCAGGACUUUUACUUUGAGGAAAUUAGAGUGUUUCAAGCAGGCAUACGCCUUGAAUACAUUAGCGUGGAAUAAUAAGAUAGGACCUCGGUUCUAUUUUGUUGGUUUCUAGAGCUGAGGUAAUGAUUAAUAGGGAUAGUUGGGGGCAUUCGUAUUUAACUGUCAGAGGUGAAAUUCUUGGAUUUGUUAAAGACGGACUACUGCGAANGNAUUUGCNAAGGAUGUUUNCAUUG
rnacentral:rRNA from 1 species